UAUGUGAUCGUCUCUCGCAUAUCAAUAAGCGGAGGAAAAGAAACUAACAAGGAUUCCCCUAGUAACGGCGAGUGAAGCGGGAAGAGCUCAAAUUUGAAAUCUUAAAGGGUUUCCCUUUACGAAUUGUAGUUUAAAGAAGUGUUUUCUGUUGAGGUUUUGGUAAAAGUUCUUUGGAAUAGGACAUCAUAGAGGGUGAGAAUCCCGUAUUUGACCUUUACUUUCAACUUUGUGAUACACUUUCAAAGAGUCGGAUUGUUUGGGAAUGCAGUCCAAAAUGGGUGGUAAAUUUCAUCUAAAGCUAAAUAUUGGCGAGAGACCGAUAGCGAACAAGUACCGUGAGGGAAAGAUGAAAAGAACUUUGAAAAGAGAGUUAAACAGUACGUGAAUUGUCAAAAGGGAAGCGUUUGACACCAGUGUUGUUUUUCUGAAAAUCAAUUAAAGAACUGUUUAUGCUAAGUUGUUUAGACUUUAUCAGCUAACUGUUUAGUUUUGAGCUUUUCUUUAAUGCACUUUUCAGUUAACAAGUCAACAUCAAUUUCUUUUGCUGUAAAAAAGCUUGAGGAAGGUGGCUUGAGAUUCGUCUUAAGUGUUUAUAGCCUCUUGCCUAUGCAGUCGGAGAGAUUGAGGUCUGCAGCGUAGAUCCUUCGGGGCUAAAUGCAUUUGUGCUAAGUUAUAGCAUUUUAUAGACAACCUGUUGACUAUGAUUUGUCUUGUAGCUUACUCGCUUAUGUUAUUUUACCUACGCUUAGGAUGUUGAAGACUCUACAGAGAUA
rnacentral:rRNA from 1 species